UACAGAGGGUGCGAGCGUUAAUCGGAAUUACUGGGCGUAAAGCGCGCGUAGGCGGCUUUGCAAGUCGGGUGUGAAAUCCCCAGGCUUAACCUGGGAACUGCAUUCGAGACUGCAUUGCUAGAGUAUGGGAGAGGGAAGUGGAAUUUCCGGUGUAGCGGUGAAAUGCGUAGAGAUCGGGAGGAACACCAGAGGCGAAGGCGGCGACCUGGACAGUGACUGACACUCAACUGCGAAAGCGUGGGGAGCAAACAGG
rnacentral:rRNA from 1 species